rnacentral:rRNA from 1 species
CAGGACGAACGCUAGCGGCGUGCCUAACACAUGCAAGUCGAGCGAUGAAAUCCUUCGGGAUGGAUUAGCGGCGGACGGGUGAGUAACACGUGGGUAACCUGCCUUGUAGAGGGGGAUAGCCUUCCGAAAGGAAGAUUAAUACCGCAUAACAUCUUUUUAUCGCAUGGUAGAAAGAUCAAAGGAGCAAUCCGCUACAAGAUGGACCCGCGGCGCAUUAGCUAGUUGGUGAGGUAACGGCUCACCAAGGCGACGAUGCGUAGCCGACCUGAGAGGGUGAUCGGCCACAUUGGAACUGAGACACGGUCCAGACUCCUACGGGAGGCGAGCAGUGGGGAAUAUUGCGCAAGUACGGGGGGAAACCCUGACGCAGCAACGCCGCGUGAAUGAAGAAGGCCUUAGGGUUGUAAAGUUCUGUUUACGGGGACGAUAAUGACGGUACCCGUGGAGGAAGCCACGGCUAACUACGUGCCAGCCGCCGC